UAAUUCCCAUUCCCAGUAAUUCCUCUCAUCUCAGCAACCAACCCGACCCACUUCCCUUUUAUCCCCUUCAGUGAGCAACGCGAAAUUGCAACGUGCAUCAGACAUGUGAACUCCACCACUCGACCAAAACGCCCCGUCUUCUUCAUGCGCGAGCCACUAAAAGCAGCAGCAAGGAACGCACAAUGAUCUCAACGGUAUCAUCGUCUCUUUCGCCAUUUAUUUGCCUGGCAAGGGCUUCCUGAUUUCUCUAGCCUUGCAGAAUCGUCCUUGGGUGUCGGAGAUGUCUCCACGUCUCCCCCAAGGACGAUUGGAUCGAUCAAAAUCGUCCAUUUCCCCUUUCCAUUUUUGGAACAGUUUCAGAGCUUCAGAAAAAGCUUGUCUUCCCAAAGUGGUGAAAGAAACAUUUGAAUUUCAAAUUCGGACUCAAGUUCUGUCCAAGAUUCUCACCCUUCCCCCCUCUUUUUCUUUGUCAAAAUCCUAGCCCUUGGCUAUAUAUGAUCGCUUCGGUCCUUUUGGGGGAGGGAGAUAUUUCUUUAGCUGCCGUUAGAGAGAAAAUAUACAGUAAGAAUCACUAGUUAUACAAUUAUUACAAAUAAACACUUGAGGAAUAGGUCUUAGAAAUCACAGAGAGUAAGAGUUAAGACUCCCGCUUGUUUCUUCACCCACGAGAGUUCAUCGGAGUCGCGACUUGGUGGUGGAGGGAUCGGCCUCAUAGCUAGCUCGUUCGUCCGUCCGAUUCGCUGCCCUCGUAAAAGUUUAUGAAGCUCUUCCUUUGCAUUCCAUCAACUCCUUUCAUCGAGUCGGCCAUCAUGGUAAAUUAGGAAUCAGGUGUACAGGUUGAAAAUUGGCAAAUCCGAACGAAAAAAUAAUUUUCAAGUUCUGGAAAUGUGAAAACAAGAUGAAAAUAUGUCUUGUAUACAUCCUUAUACAGUGAUAUACGCGACAGAACGGCAAUAUACAGGUGCAAACGGAGUGGAAACUCAGGAAAAAUUACAUGAAAUAUAGGUAAACAAAAUGGAGGCUUUAAAGGUUCAAAAAUGGGUCGGAAACGUCCUAUAUUACAGCGUAUUCUUAAUGUGUAUACACAGAUUUCUUUGAAGGAAAUAGGCCUAAAGGCCCUGAAAA